GCAUACAUAUCAUACACAUGGAUUUUUGUUGCAGCAAUGUUUACAACAGAAUUUUUAUAAAUAAACACAUGUCCACUAGUAAGGCACUGGUUGAAAUGAGAGAGAGAGAAGAGGGACAGCUCAGAAAAGAUGCACUGCAAAAUGUGGAGACGUUAUUUUUGGAAAUGUACUGCCAGAACCACUACAACCAUUUGCCCACCUGAGCCUCCCAAUGAUGCCAACGAAGAGGAAGGCAGAGCUAAGAGAGGGGAGACAUGCAUCGUGACGUUGGAGAAGCUGCAGACACACCUGGGCUUGAAGCCACUGAUCUGGACUUGUCACUCACAUGAGCAAAUCAACUCCUUUUUUUUACAAACUAGAAGAGUCUUAAUCCAUAUGCCUAUUAAGGAGGUAUUAUUGGAAAUAAUUACUGUAACUUAAGACUCCAUAAUAUUACUUUAGGCAAAUUAUAGCUAAUAAACAGCACAGCUAAGAUUAGAAUUUGGGAUUUCCUAACUCUAUACUUUGCUGUUCUCAGUAGUCAUGAGAUUAAAACCUGUUAACAAUGUGGAUAAGGGAAAAUACACACCAACACACGCAUGCACAAGUCUCUAAACCUUACCAUGAGAUUUUAAGUGAUCUCUGUGAGUCUUUCUGCUUCUCUCUCCAAUCAAGGUAUACUAUUACACUAGAGAACUCUGAAGGUCUGCUUCACACGAUACAGAAGAAUAUUCCUGAAAAUGUGUUUGGACAAAUAGAUCAUUCAAAAUAUGCAAAAUGCCUCCAAAGGUCUCACAGGGUAGAGAUCCUCAACUGUUUAAGAAAAACUUGAUAAAAUCUUCUAUGGGGACAAUUGACUUAUCUUGCAGGUAUUCACUUAAAAAAAUUUUUUUUUGACCACCUACUAAAUUCUAAGGACUCAGGUUCUUGGGGAAUGAUAUAAAGCAACAACGAGAGAGCCAGCUCUCAGGGAGCUUGUGGUGUAAAAAAUGCCUUCUGUGUGUGGUGCUGGAAACAGAGUAUACAGAGAUAAAUAAAA